rnacentral:rRNA from 1 species
UUACCGGAGUACUAUGAAUAUUAAAAAUUUAAAACUCAAAGAACUUGGCGGUGUUUUAGACCACUCAGGGGAACCUGUCUCAUAAUCGAUAAUCCACGUUGUACCUGACCUUUUUUUGUAUUCAGUUUGUAUACCGUUGUCGUCAGGUAACUUUUUAGAAAUUAGAAGUUAGCAGCAGAAAUAAAAAUAAUUUAAUACGUCAAAUCAAGGUGCAGCUAAUGAAAAGGGGAGGAUGGGUUACAAUUAUAUAAUUUAUAAUAACGGAUAGGUAUAUGGAGUAUAUAUUAAUUAUAAGGCGGACUUGAAAGUAAAUUAGGUUAUAUAAAUAACUUGAAUGAGGCUCUGAAACGUGU